UCAAACUACAUCCUCCUCAAUCUUAUGUCAGUGCCAUUAUAUCCUGUAUGCUGAAAAGUCAUAAAAGUUCUAAAAAUAAAGCUGGAGUUUUUUCAUAUUUUAAAGAGGGAUUACUAGCCAAAGAGGAACGGCACAGUAGAUCUAGUAAAAAGAGCAGGUUUAUUGCAGUAUCCUGCAGGUGUGAUACACCUUAUGCUUUUCGGUAGUUAUUUCCUUAAUCAUAGGCAUACGGAAAUGACAAAACAGACAUGUUCUAUACAAAAGUUAUGCAGCGACCCCCAAUGGUCUUUCUGUUUAUUAAAUAUUAAAAGGUUCAGUUUAUUUAAAACCAAAAUAUUAAAGUCAAAAAGUUAAGAAUAAAAACCUUUGUAUAUAAUAAAAACAAAACUUGUCCAAAAGAACCCUGUUUUUAUUGUAUACAAUAUAAAAAGUUUUAUUCUUAACUUUUUGACUUUAAUAUUUUGUUUUUUUUUUACAAUAAAUGAACUGAACCUUUAGUUUGGUCACAUAUUCCCCACACAAAAUGCAUAAUUGUCUCUGUAUUUUGCCCCUUCAUUAGCCUGCACCCAUAGUGGUUUCCUGAAUCUGCUUCAACCAUGUGGCCAUUUUCUAUCUGCUACAUCAUCAUUUAUAUUUGCAUAUCCAGACACACCUAAUGACCUUGCUCAGAAGUUUUUUUUUUUUGUAAUGUAACUUUAUUAGCAAGAAUUUUUAAUCCUACCUAUUGCAUGUAUACUUACAUACUAUGUACAUGUAUAACCCUACUCACUCCUAUGUAUAACACCACUCACUUAUACAUGUAAUCCCACUCGCUCAUUUCUGUAUAAUUCAAUCAUACAUGUAAUCCCACUCUUGUAUGUAUAAUCCCCCCUCACUCAAUUAUUUAUAAUUCCACUCACUCGUUUAAUCCCACUCUCGUACAUGUAUAAUUCCACUCACUUGUGUAAUCCCGCUCUCUCACUCAUGUAAUCCCCCUCAUUAGGCAUAUCUUUCCAAAACACAUCAUUCAUACUGCAUAUACCCCUCCAAUUGCCAGCACAUUUUCCUAAAACAAAUGGCAUCUUUCACCCAGCGGCCAUUUUCCCUCUGACACAUCAUAAGUAACAUUAACAUCUGCAAACAGGACACGUAUGUUGUAAAGUUCAUGCAUGCAAUGCAGAAUGUAGUUUUACACACACACAACAUACUUUGAUAAAAAGUUCUGCUGGGGUCACUGUAAUGGUCAGGUACCACUGCACCAAAUAGUAUAGAUGGACUCUUGUUCAUAAUAUGCUUGAUGCAAGUUUAAAGUGUGCAGUUUGAAUCCUAAUAUGAGGCUGAGACAAAUCCUACAAGAAAACAAAUUGUUUGCAGUUUUAGUGUACCUGUCCUUGCAUUUGGGUCCGACUGACUGAUUACUGUCCAAGUAUAAUUUAAUAAGAAAUGCCACUGUGGAAUAUUUUCUCAUUAAAUUUUUAAUAAUUGCUUCGAGCAUCUCUUUAAAAUGUGUUUAACCUGUUGAACAACUUUCAAGAAAACAUCCAAUAUCAAUGAUAAUGAUUUUGUCUGUUUGUGUAUCCUAAAUUCUUACAAAGUCUUAGAUGCUCAUUAUACUUCAAGUACUGCAUAUAUGAACAGUAUAUUGUUUCUUAAGCAGAUAUCCAUAAAGAGGGAUAUUAUAUAUGUCUAAUAACUGCUUCCUUUUACCUGACAAUCAGGAGAAUCUGCUCUGUCCUGACAUGUUUCGAAUGGGGAUCUGCUACAUUUUCACUGAUGAUAAACCACGCUAUUUUGGAUCAUUUGUUCAGAGCUCCCCAUCUACCUUUCAACAAACAACCCCACCAUAUUAGCCUUUCUUGGGCACCAUCUCAGCCCAUGAUCAGCCUUUGAGCAGCUCAUUAUCAAUGGCUUCUUGGACUUGAGUGCUAAUUACUUUUAUCGGCUCCUCUGUUGUUCUGUGGAAUCAGGAAGUACUAAAGUAAAAACUGGGUUCAUAUUCUUGAUUAUUGGCAUAAAUAACAAGUAUCAUAUAGGCAAAAAUUAUGAUCAGCACAAGCCCUAUUCAUUAAACUGAUGUUAAAAAGCUGUGUAUACUGUCCCAAUUUGACUGGCUGCAAUAAGGCAUUUUUGGUUCUUAUCAAUAUAAGGGUAUUUUGGGGUUUAUUGUCUCCUGGGCUAGAGGCAAUUAUGCACAAGCCCCUGUAGAGUUACCAAAGGCAGUACGAUUAAGCUCUGACUCUCUUUCAGCAGAACAGUUGACUUGACCCACAAGCCUGCAUGGGAAAUUGAAUGUAUUGCUACAGGCACUCAGCCCUUAAAGAGCUGAUUCAUAUAGUAAUUUUGACUUGAAACUUUUCAGAUACCUUUAAAAUAUACAUACAAUAAA